AGAGCCUCUUGGGUUUUGAAACAUCUUGAAAAGACAAGAAUAACUAUAAAAUGGGAAGGUGUUACAGUGUCUGAAUGAUGCUCAGUAGUCCAUGUUACCGCCACUGCUCCUAGAAUGCUGAGAGGCUUGGGGAGUACUGGUGAGACACCUCGGGACACUUUGGUGGUGGUGCCUGGAGACAUUUGUGGAAGUCCAGGAGUUCCUAGGUGUCCCCAAUUCAUGAAUGUCCCUGUCCUGCACAAACCAGACUAGAUGCACAGUGGCUCUGAGGGGAUGAAGACUUGGCAGUCUAGUCAGCGACUAACCUGGAUGCUGCAGGUUCCUGAAAGUACCACAUGAUCUCUGCUUGUUUCCCUCCUCUCUUCCUUUGCCAUUUGAACUCCCACCAUACGUGAAGAGACUCAGGUGAUUGAUGUCUGAGAACAGGAUGCUGACUGUUCCCUCAGGUAAGAGUUAAGUGCCAGACCUGGGCAAACCAUUUUGAGUACCUCCUAGCUCAUGUAUUUUGAUUGCCUCUUUGUGGAGUGUGAACCUCUUAGACCUUAACCUAGAGACCUUGGUGCAGAAAAGCUUAGCAGAUGGAGGGGAAAAUGGAAACAGAGUUGGAUAUAGAUGUUAGCCUCAGGGGAAAGAAUGUGGUUUGCGUUGGGAAAUGAGGAGGUGGGUAAAGGGAAGGUGCAGAUAUAUAUCAGGUGGCCGGCCCUCCUGCCAUCUCACUCCCUCUCUCUCCAUAGUAAAGAAACAUGAACAAAUAUUAACAGAACGUUCCCCAGGGCAGGUGCUGGCCCCGGUCACAGCCAUUCAUUCGCUUUGUAAUUAACUCGAGGGUGUUACUUUAGCAUUAUUGAGUAUUUGAGUAUUAUUAUUUGAGGAGCACUGGGUUCAUGUACAGCCACCUCCCUGGGAAACCAGCUUUGCAAAAGCUUCCUGUGUCUCCUUGGGGGUGACAGGGAGGUGUCCACCUUGGGAGGAGACACCUGCCAGUCCCUGUCCCAGUGGCCUGGUAUCUGGAGCCCUCUGCCUGGCUCCUG